rnacentral:rRNA from 1 species
AUUGAACGCUGGCGGCAUGCCUUACACAUGCAAGUCGAACGGUAACAGGUCUUCGGAUGCUGACGAGUGGCGAACGGGUGAGUAAUACAUCGGAACGUGCCCGAUCGUGGGGGAUAACGAGGCGAAAGCUUUGCUAAUACCGCAUACGAUCUACGGAUGAAAGCGGGGGAUCUUCGGACCUCGCGCGGACGGAGCGGCCGAUGGCAGAUUAGGUAGUUGGUGGGAUAAAAGCUUACCAAGCCGACGAUCUGUAGCUGGUCUGAGAGGAUGAUCAGCCACACUGGGACUGAGACACGGCCCAGACUCCUACGGGAGGCAGCAGUGGGGAAUUUUGGACAAUGGGCGAAAGCCUGAUCCAGCCAUGCCGCGUGCAGGAUGAAGGCCUUCGGGUUGUAAACUGCGUUUGUACGGAACGAAAAGCCUCUUUCUAAUAAAGAGGGGUCAUGACGGUACCGUAAGAAUAAGCACCGGCUAACUACGUG